GGUGAAGAAAAAGCAUCCUGAGGAGAGAGAAUCCCUGCUGUGAGGAAAACUGUUGGUAGUGUUCGAAAAUCAGAUAAACCUCAUGAGUGGGAGUACUGCUGACUAAGCAAUGGCACAAAAGUCUGAUGUCAUAUCUGCAGAGCUUUGGUGCAAACAAAAUACAGCCAAAUAAGAGACCCUUUAUCACCAUCCCAAGUCCUCAUGCUUACAGGAUGAGCAUCGUCAGCAUCAAGAAGGAGCUGACCAGGUGAGUGGAUGAAUAUCCUGCUGUCCUCACCCAGCACACUCCAGCAGAGUUGAGUGUCCAAUUUACCUGUCUGAGAUGAUAAGCAGAACGGGAAGGAACUGACGUUGUAAAUCUUGAGGAUCUGUAAUUGCUAAUAAAAAGGUUUUUUGCAGGCAAAAGAUUGCUUAGUGCCGUGGCUGUGGACUUUUUGUGUGAACUUUCACCUUGAGGAGCUGUAGCAGUUGUUGGGUGCCAGCACACCUUUUACCUGCUGCUGAAGCUCCCUGGAAGGCACAAAGCUCACUGGAAUGUUUCUGAGCAGCUCUGGACCCUGAAAUUAUCACUUUCUUUCUCAUCCCAGAGGACGUAGCUUCAUUCAGUGAGCAGCAUAGAUGUUUCUGAGG